rnacentral:rRNA from 1 species
CAGUCGCCACGGUAACACGGAGGGUGCAAGCGUUAAUCGGAAUUACUGGGCGUAAAGCGCACGCAGGCGGUCUGACAAGUCAGAUGUGAAAUCCCCGGGCUUAACCUGGGAACUGCAUUUGAAACUGUCAGGCUGGAGUCUUGUAGAGGGGGGUAGAAUUCCAGGUGUAGCGGUGAAAUGCGUAGAGAUCUGGAGGAAUACCGGUGGCGAAGGCGGCCCCCUGGACAAAGACUGACGCUCAGGUGCGAAAGCGUGGGGAGCAAACAGGAUUAGAUACCCGAGUAGUCCCUGUCUCUUAUAC